rnacentral:rRNA from 1 species
UGGAUUGAGACAACGUACAAACCUUAUCGAUAAACAAUUGGAGGGCAAGUCUGGUGCCAGCAGCCGCGGUAAUUCCAGCUCCAAUAGCGUAUAUUAACGUUGUUGCAGUUAAAAAGCUCGUAGUUGAAAUGAAGGGUAGUUGUGUAAUGAAUACAUUCGUGUAUUUUGUUAUUCUACUACCCUCCUUCUAAAUUCGAUAUAUGAGUAUUAAUUUACUUGUAUAUGGUUUUAGACGUUUACUGUGAGAAAAUUAGAGUGUUCAAAGCAGGCAUUUGCUUGAAUAUAUUAGCAUGGAAUAAUCAUGUAUGAUUUUCAUGAUGUAUUUGAUUGGUUUGGUUCAUGAGAAUAAGAUUAAAAGGGACAGUUGGGGGUAUUCAUAUUCAAUAGUCAGAGGUGAAAUUCUCGGAUUUAUGGAAGAUGAACAAGUGCGAAAGCAUUUACCAAGGAUGUUUUCAUUAAUCAAGAACGAAAGUUAGGGGAUCGAAGAGGAU